UACGGAGGGUGCAAGCGUUAUCCGGAUUCACUGGGUUUAAAGGGUGCGUAGGUGGGUUUGUAAGUCAGGGGUGAAAUCCUGGAGCUCAACUCCAGAACUGCCUUUGAUACUGAGGAUCUCGAGUUCGGGAGAGGUGAGUGGAACUGCGAGUGUAGAGGUGAAAUUCGUAGAUAUUCGCAAGAACACCAGUGGCGAAGGCGGCUCACUGGCCCGAUACUGACGCUGAGGCACGAAAGCGUGGGGAGCAAACAGG
rnacentral:rRNA from 1 species